rnacentral:lncRNA from 1 species
AGCCAUUAAUCCGGCCCCCACGGCACAAGGGCAGAAGGGGGUUGGGCUAAAUGACCCAAGGGGUCUCUUCUUCUCUUACAACCCUUAUUAUUAAUAUUAAUAUUAAUAUUAAUAUUGAGGCUGGGAGGCCAUCUGUCAGGAAUGCUUUGCUUGUGCAUUCGGUGCACAAAGGCAGAAGGGGAUUGGACUCAAUGGCCCAAGGGUCUAUUGUUGUUGUUGUUAUUAUUAUUAUUAUUAUUAUUAUUAUUAUUAUUAUUAUUAUUAUUAACAUUGAGGCUGGGAGGCCAUCCGUCAGGGGUGCUUUGCUUGUUCUUUCAGUGCACAAAGGCAGAAGGGGAUUGGACUCAAUGGCCCAAGGGUCUAUUAUUAUUACAGUAGAGUCUCACUUAUCCAACAUAAACGGGCCGGCAGAAUGUUGGAUAAGCGAAUAUGUUGGAUAAUAAGGAGGCAUUAAGGAAAAGCCUAUUAAACAUCAAAUUAGGUUAUGAUUUUACAAAGUAAGCACCAAAACAUCAUGUUAGACAACAAAUUCAGCAGAAAAAGUAGUUCAAUAUGCAGUAAUGCUAUGUAGUAAUUACUGUAUUUAUGAAUUUAGCAUCAAAAUAUCACGAUAUAUUGAAAACAUUGACUACAAAAAUGUGUUGGAUAAUCCAGAACGUUGGAUAAGCGAGUGUUGGAUAAGUGAGACUCUACUGUACUUCACAACCUCUGAGGUGUGGGCGAAACAUCAGGAGAGAAUGCUUCUGGAACAUGGCCAUACAACCCAGAAAAUGCACAACAGCCCAUUUAAUUUGUUAAAUUGUAAGUUGCACAUGAGAGACACCCUGCUUUUCAAUAUCCUUGAAACGAGACCUAUAUUUAAGUUGGGAUGAUACGUAGAUUGGUUUAAACUUAACGUAAGUGAUAAAUUGACCACCAUUUAAUGUAUUUUGUGACCAUUUUAUUGCAGCAGUUCUGGCUUCAUUUGAUGGUCUUUCGUUAUGGUGAAGGGACAUGGAGCAAUCCUACAUUGCAAUGUGAGCAGCAAAUUUGAUAAAUACAUAAA